rnacentral:lncRNA from 1 species
CUCUUAUCCUAUCACUAUCUGCCUGUGUAAAAGGUCACUCUUCCUUUAUUUUUAUUACCUGUUUUAGGUAUUGGAAUGUACUCUAAGUUCACCCUGGAGCCUUCUCUUUUCCAGGCUGGACAAUCCUAGCUCUCUCGUCCUGUCUUCAUAAGAAGAAUGUCUUCAUGUCCUGUCUGAAUGUGGUGGACAGAGAUAGAUGGUGAUAACUGAGUUCAUCAACAGUCCCAGACCAGAUAUUACCAGACUGGAUGAUGCUGGUGGGACCCAGCCAGACCUGAUCCAAAUAGAAGUGACUUUUGGAUACUCAGCAAAUGAGGAAAGCCAGUCUAUUAUGGAGCAGGAGCUAGAAAUUGCAUCUUUGGAGUUCUUGUUGGUUGCACUGGCACAGGAAACUGGAGAUAUCGUAUACAGGCAUUGGGACCAUUCAGCAGAGUGUUGUCAGGAGAAGAGGAAGGUUUCAUGGUGUGUUAAAAUCCCUUAA